rnacentral:rRNA from 1 species
CUUUCCGUAGGUGAACCUGCUGAACUUAAGCAUAUACCCGCUGAACUUAAGCAUAUACCCGCUGAACUUAAGCAUAUACCCGCUGAACUUAAGCAUAU